rnacentral:rRNA from 1 species
GGUUAAGUUAGAAAGGGCGCACGGUGGAUGCCUUGGCACUAGGAGCCGAAGAAGGACGGGACUAACACCGAUAUGCUUUGGGGAGCUGUACGUAAGCGUUGAUCCAGAGAUUUCCGAAUGGGGGAACCCACUAUCUUUAGUCGGAUAGUAUCCUUACGUGAAUACAUAGCGUGAGGAAGGCAGACCCAGGGAACUGAAACAUCUAAGUACCUGGAGGAAGAGAAAGAAAAAUCGAUUUCCUGAGUAGCGGCGAGCGAAACGGAAAGAGCCCAAACCAAGAAGCUUGCUUCUUGGGGUUGUAGGACACUCUAUACGGAGUUACAAAAGAAAGUUAUAAAUGAAGCGGUCUGGAAAGGCCCGCCAAAGACGGUAACAGCCCGGUAGUUGAAAUGGCUUUCCCUCCAGAGUGGAUCCUGAGUACGGCGGAACACGUGAAAUUCCGUCGGAAUCCGGGAGGACCAUCUCCCAAGGCUAAAUACUCCCUAGUGACCGAUAGUGAACCAGUACCGUGAGGGAAAGGUGAAAAGCACCCCGGAAGGGGAGUGAAACAGUUCCUGAAACCGUGUGCCUACAAGUAGUUAGAGCCCGUUAAUGGGUGAUAGCGUGCCUUUUGUAGAAUGAACCGGCGAGUUACGAUUUGUUGCAAGGUUAAGCGGAAAAAGCGGAGCCGUAGCGAAAGCGAGUCUGAAUAGGGCGCAUAAGUAACAGGUCGUAGACCCGAAACCAGGUGAUCUACCCAUGUCCAGGAUGAAGGUAAGGUAAUACUUACUGGAGGUCCGAACCCACGCACGUUGAAAAGUGCGGGGAUGAGGUGUGGGUAGCGGAGAAAUUCCAAUCGAACUUGGAGAUAGCUGGUUCUCUCCGAAAUAGCUUUAGGGCUAGCCUCGAGGUAAAGAGUCAUGGAGGUAGAGCACUGUUUGGACUAGGGGCCCUUCUCGGGUUACCGAAUUCAGAUAAACUCCGAAUGCCAUGUACUUAUACUCGGGAGUCAGACUGCGAGUGAUAAGAUCCGUAGUCGAAAGGGAAACAGCCCAGACCACCAGUUAAGGUCCCCAAAUAUAUGUUAAGUGGAAAAGGAUGUGGGGUUGCUUAGACAACCAGGAUGUUGGCUUAGAAGCAGCCACCAUUGAAAGAGUGCGUAAUAGCUCACUGGUCGAGUGACCCCGCGCCGAAAAUGUACCGGGGCUAAACAUAUUACCGAAACUGUGGAUGAACCUCUUUAGAGGUUCGUGGUAGGAGAGCGUUCUAAGGGCGGUGAAGUCAGACCGGAAGGACUGGUGGAGCGCUUAGAAGUGAGAAUGCCGGUAUGAGUAGCGAAAGAAGGGUGAGAAUCCCUUCCACCGAAUAUCUAAGGUUUCCUGAGGAAGGCUCGUCCGCUCAGGGUUAGUCGGGACCUAAGCCGAGGCCGAUAGGCGUAGGCGAUGGACAACAGGUAGAGAUUCCUGUACCAGUGCUAAUUGUUUAACCGAUGGGGUGACACAGAAGGAUAGGGAAUCGCACGAAUGGAAAUGUGCGUCCAAGCAGUGAGUGUGAGAAGUAGGCAAAUCCGCUUCUCACNNNNNNNNNNNNNNNNNNNNNNNNNNNNNNNNNNNNNNNNNNNNNNNNNNNNNNNNNNNNNNNNNNNNNNNNNNNNNNNNNNNNNNNNNNNNNNUCUCACGAAGCAUGAGCUGUGAUGGGGAAGGAAAUUAAGUACGGAAGUUCCUGAUUUCACGCUGUCAAGAAAAGCCUCUAGGAAGAGUAGUACUGCCCGUACCGCAAACCGACACAGGUAGAUGAGGAGAGAAUCCUAAGGUGAGCGAGAGAACUCUCGUUAAGGAACUCGGCAAAAUGACCCCGUAACUUCGGGAGAAGGGGUGCUCUAUUAGGGUGCAAGCCCGAGAGAGCCGCAGUGAAUAGGCCCAGGCGACUGUUUAGCAAAAACACAGGUCUCUGCAAAACCGUAAGGUGACGUAUAGGGGCUGACGCCUGCCCGGUGCUGGAAGGUUAAGAGGAGUGCUUAGCUUCGGCGAAGGUACGAAUUGAAGCCCCAGUAAACGGCGGCCGUAACUAUAACGGUCCUAAGGUAGCGAAAUUCCUUGUCGGGUAAGUUCCGACCCGCACGAAAGGCGCAACGAUCUGGGCACUGUCUCAACGAGAGACUCGGUGAAAUUAUAGUACCUGUGAAGAUGCAGGUUACCCGCGACAGGACGGAAAGACCCCGUGGAGCUUUACUGCAACCUGAUAUGGAAUGUUUGUACCGCUUGUACAGGAUAGGUAGGAGCCGAAGAGACGUGUGCGCUAGCAUACGAGGAGGCAAUGGUGGGAUACUACCCUGGCUGUAUGACCAUUCUAACCCGCCACGCUUAGCGCGUGGGGAGACAGUGUCAGGUGGGCAGUUUGACUGGGGCGGUCGCCUCCUAAAGAGUAACGGAGGCGCCCAAAGGUUCCCUCAGAAUGGAUGGAAAUCAUUCGCAGAGUGUAAAGGCACAAGGGAGCUUGACUGCGAGACUGACAAGUCGAGCAGGGACGAAAGUCGGGCUUAGUGAUCCGGUGGUUCCGCAUGGAAGGGCCAUCGCUCAACGGAUAAAAGCUACCCCGGGGAUAACAGGCUUAUCUCCCCCAAGAGUCCACAUCGACGGGGAGGUUUGGCACCUCGAUGUCGGCUCGUCGCAUCCUGGGGCUGUAGUCGGUCCCAAGGGUUGGGCUGUUCGCCCAUUAAAGCGGCACGCGAGCUGGGUUCAGAACGUCGUGAGACAGUUCGGUCCCUAUCCGUCGCGGGCGCAGGAAAUUUGAGAGGAGCUGUCCUUAGUACGAGAGGACCGGGAUGGACACACCGCUGGUGUACCAGUUGUUCCGCCAGGAGCAUCGCUGGGUAGCUAUGUGUGGCAGGGAUAAACGCUGAAAGCAUCUAAGCGUGAAGCCCCCCUCAAGAUGAGAUUUCCCAUUUCUUCGGAAAGUAAGAUCCCUGAAAGAUGAUCAGGUAGAUAGGUUUGGAGUGGAAGUGUAGCGAUACAUGGAGCGGACAAAUACUAAUCGAUCGAGGACUUAACCAA